rnacentral:rRNA from 1 species
UGCCAGCAGCCGCGGUAAUACAUAGGGUGCAAGCGUUAUCCGGAAUUAUUGGGCGUAAAGCGUUCGUAGGCGGUUUAUUAAGUCUUAAGUUAAAGCCCGGGGCUCAACCCCGGCACGCUUAGGAUACUGGUAGACUAGAGUUAUAGAGAGAUUAGCGGAACUCCAUGUGAAGCGGUGGAAUGCGUAGAUAUAUGGAAGAACACCAAUGGCGAAGGCAGCUAAUUGGCUAUAAACUGACGCUGAGGAACGAAAGCGUGGGGAGCAAACAGGAUUAGAUA